ACAAACGUGUUCUCGCCUAGGAGCGUCUCUUCACUGGGAAACGGCCGAACCGCGGCUCCACUGCGGACUGCGGAGGGGCCCCCAGGUCAAACGCAGCCAACUUGGAGCUCAGGGUGCCAGGCGAGCUGAGACGAGCUGGCCUCAGGCUGGAGCCUCGGUCUGAGUCCUAGACGCAGGCUGCUUGCCCAGGUCUCUUUGUUAACCUCCUGACAUCGCGCCCCCUCGUGGGGGCGUCUACUCAGGCCGGCUUCGCUCAGCUACCCUUAAGAAACAGUUUCCCAGUCCUUUACCUCGACUACAAGAUGGCCUCCCAAAAGAAGCUGGAUCUACUUCAGCGUGACACAGGCUAGAGUGAGAGGACAGGAAGGAGCCUCAGCUGAGAAAAUGCCUCCAGAAGAUUCGCCUGUACAAGUCUAUCGGACAUGUUCAACUUGGUAACUGGCUAAAGAUUCCAGACCGACAGCUAUCAAAGGAGGGUAUAAAAGACAAGUGUGUGAAACAGAGUGUAAGAAGUGAGCCUGGACAUUUAGUAACUCAGCUCUGUUCGGGCUCUGGAAAAUCGCAGCUGCUGAGAGGUCAUGGUGCAAAGCAUCCAACAAAUGGUGCAGAAGCUCCUGGCUGUCUUGUUGCUGGAAACCUUUAAAUCGUGGCGCCCUAGGAUUAAAAAGAAAGAGAAGAGGGAUACUCAUUCCUUGGAUCAUGAGCAACAUAGCAGUCUUACGCAAGAUCAUCGUGGAAUAAGCUACAGUCAGCUCAUUGCUUCUCAACCGAACAGACGAAACGCUCUUCCUGCCCUAGUAGAAACAAGCUCAUGGGGAGUGCACUGAGAACAAAAUGGCUGCCUUUCGUUAGCAUAUCACAGCCAGUACUAACAGUCGCACACCUUUCAACUCCUUUAUCCCUAAUGGCACUGAAUGAGGGACCAGAAAAGUUGUUAAACUAAUACACUAAGUCAUACAGCCAGCAAGAAAAAAAAGCACUCAGAUCCAAGCUCUGCAAUUUCCCUUCUUACCUCAAAGAAUAAAAAGAUUAAGAUAUAGUCUGCAUCUUACU